AAUAGCGUAGGGGGAUCCAAAAUCAAAAGCUUUCGGUAACUCCAAGUCAGUAUGACCAGACAUGUCCGUGGAGGGUCGGUAGUGCGAGGCACACUUAAAACCACUAUCUCCUUAAUUUCGGACAAUUCUAAGACAUCACACUGAGCUUGGAUGAGCCUAGUUGAACAAUUGAUGAUGAAAAAUCCGCUAUAGGGUAGAAGACUUAACCGGAAACACGUGGGCGAUCCUCCUUGAGGAUGCAGUGCCAUGAGUCACCUUCAAAGGAAGGGACCAAAAUGGGCACAAUAUGCCAUGUUUCUAAGGACGAUGUAAGUGUACAUCUUGAUUGUGAAUCAAUAUGAACCAUAAGAGGAGAAUAGUUUCACUUCGAAAAAAUUCUCAGGGCAUUCAUUAUUGCUAAUGUGAGUACAUCGAUGUCUCAAAUAGACAAAGGAGGUCGAUACAACGCCUUAGUACAUAAAGCUUGGAACGAAAAUCAAUGUCUAGCCGGUGACGUCAAAGUCAUGGGUAGCUAGAGCAGGAUCCGAAUCUUUGAAAUUCGCGAUCAUGAGGAUGACGUUCUUGUCCUCAUAUUGAUUUUCCGUACCUUUUUGUAUGCAUUCACAAUUGGAAGGAGCUUGACAAUCUUGAACCAGUGAUCCGAAGAUCCACAACGGUUGCAUUAAUGUCAUGAGCUGACGUGAGUAGUUUUGACAAAAUGGUGUCUAGACCGGGAGUGUCGCUAUUAGAGCCGGCAACACCUCCCCCUCUUUUCUAGACAUCGGCAUGACGUUUUCUGCCGUUGCCAUGACCUAUAUUGUUGUCCCCACAUUAGGGGAUAAUCCCAAAUAAGUUUAUCACAUUAGCGUAUAUACAAUUCCUGUUUGUAUGAUCAAAAUCAAGUCUCGUUGGUAAUUCCACACCAACUUGGAGGACCUAGAGAACUUGAUGAUGAUCGAAUCCGCUAAAGAUAUGGAUCAUGAUGCCACAAAAGAUCAUCGACAAUAUGUAGUCAAUUAAGGUGGUAAGCAA
rnacentral:lncRNA from 1 species